UGCCAGCCGCCGCGGUAAUACAGAGGUGGCAAGCGUUGUUCGGAUUUAUUGGGUGUAAAGGGCAGGUAGGCUGUUAGAUAAGUCUGUUGUGAAAUCCUGGGGCUCAACCCCAGAACUGCAAUCGAAACUGUCUGACUGGAGUAUUGUAGGGGUGAGAGGAAUUCUAGGUGUAAGAGUGAAAUCUGUAGAUAUCUAGAGGAACACCAAUGGCGAAGGCAUCUCACUAUGCAAUUACUGACGCUGAGCUGCGAAAGCUGGGGGAGCAAACAGGAUUAGAUA
rnacentral:rRNA from 1 species